UAGUUGGCCAUAGCUCAGUGGCAGAGCAUGUGCCUUGUAUGUAGGAGGCCCCGGGUUCCAUGCCCAGCAACUCAA